rnacentral:rRNA from 1 species
GCUGGCGGCAGGCCUAACACAUGCAAGUCGAGCGGUAGAGAGAAGCUUGCUUCUCUUGAGAGCGGCGGACGGGUGAGUAAAGCCUAGGAAUCUGCCUGGUAGUGGGGGAUAACGUUCGGAAACGGACGCUAAUACCGCAUACGUCCUACGGGAGAAAGCAGGGGACCUUCGGGCCUUGCGCUAUCAGAUGAGCCUAGGUCGGAUUAGCUAGUUGGUGAGGUAAUGGCUCACCAAGGCGACGAUCCGUAACUGGUCUGAGAGGAUGAUCAGUCACACUGGAACUGAGACACGGUCCAGACUCCUACGGGAGGCAGCAGUGGGGAAUAUUGGACAAUGGGCGAAAGCCUGAUCCAGCCAUGCCGCGUGUGUGAAGAAGGUCUUCGGAUUGUAAAGCACUUUAAGUUGGGAGGAAGGGCAUUAACCUAAUACGUUAGUGUUUUGACGUUACCGACAGAAUAAGCACCGGCUAACUCUGUGCCAGCAGCCGCGGUAAUACAGAGGGUGCAAGCGUUAAUCGGAAUUACUGGGCGUAAAGCGCGCGUAGGUGGUUUGUUAAGUUGGAUGUGAAAUCCCCGGGCUCAACCUGGGAACUGCAUUCAAAACUGACUGACUAGAGUAUGGUAGAGGGUGGUGGAAUUUCCUGUGUAGCGGUGAAAUGCGUAGAUAUAGGAAGGAACACCAGUGGCGAAGGCGACCACCUGGACUAAUACUGACACUGAGGUGCGAAAGCGUGGGGAGCAAACAGGAUUAGAUACCCUGGUAGUCCACGCCGUAAACGAUGUCAACUAGCCGUUGGGAGCCUUGAGCUCUUAGUGGCGCAGCUAACG